rnacentral:rRNA from 1 species
CAGUAGCCGCGGUAAUACGAAGGGGGCUAGCGUUGUUCGGAUUUACUGGGCGUAAAGGGCGCGUAGGCGGACUGAUAAGUCAGGGGUGAAAUCCCAAGGCUCAACCUUGGAACUGCCUUUGAUACUGUUUGUCUUGAGUUCGAGAGAGGUAAGUGAAACUGCGAGUGUAGAGGUGAAAUUCGUAGAUAUUCGCAAGAACACCAGUGGCGAAGGCGGCUUACUGGUCUGUAACUGACGCUGAUGUGCGAAAGCGUGGGGAUCAAACAGGAUUAGAUACCCCUGUAGUCCCUGUCUCUUAUAC